rnacentral:rRNA from 1 species
UGAACGCUGGCGGCGUGCCUACUACAUGCAAGUCGAGCGAACAGAUGAGGAGCUUGCUCCUCUGACGUUAGCGGCGGACGGGUGAGUAACACGUGGAUAACCUACCUAUAAGACUGGGAUAACUUCGGGAAACCGGAGCUAAUACCGGAUAAUAUAUUGAACCGCAUGGUUCAAUAGUGAAAGACGGUUUUGCUGUCACUUAUAGAUGGAUCCGCGCCGCAUUAGCUAGUUGGUAAGGUAACGGCUUACCAAGGCAACGAUGCGUAGCCGACCUGAGAGGGUGAUCGGCCACACUGGAACUGAGACACGGUCCAGACUCCUACGGGAGGCAGCAGUAGGGAAUCUUCCGCAAUGGGCGAAAGCCUGACGGAGCAACGCCGCGUGAGUGAUGAAGGUCUUCGGAUCGUAAAACUCUGUUAUUAGGGAAGAACAAAUGUGUAAGUAACUAUGCACGUCUUGACGGUACCUAAUCAGAAAGCCACGGCUAACUACGUG